GGGUUGUAAUGUAGGCUCUUUGGUAGGGUAGGAUAUAUUUGGCUAAGUGACUAAUAAAUACUCUCAAUGUAGCACAAUCACCAACCUUAUAGCAUUCUUACUCAACACAAUCCUCCACCUCCCAUAAACCAAAAUUUUCAAUACAAAACCAUCACAACUCAUCAAUUAUUCCUCAUGACAUUAUGACUUUCUAAAGCAUUCUAUGUACCUCUUUUCUUUCUUUUUCUUUUUUCAACUCUUUUCCUUUUUUCUUUUCUUUUCUUUCUUUUUUUUUCUUUUUUUUCUCAAACAAGUCAGGGUACUAGGAUUUUUUUCAAUCAAGAACAAAAUUUACAAUUCAUGAUCACUCAUCUCCACAACGCCAACUAUCUCCCAUCAAAUAGUCUCCAAGCUUCCACCCAUAGCUAAAUCAAAGAAUAUGGAAAAAUAAGGCUCAAAGGGGGUGAACUAGGAUCAUAUAAAGAUAUAGGACAAAUAUGGGAUAAAUAGGCUAGCAAAGAUGGCCUUCUAUCAUCUCAAAGUUAUUAAGCACACUAUGUG
rnacentral:lncRNA from 1 species